rnacentral:rRNA from 1 species
GACGAACCGUGCGAACGUUAUUCGGAAUCAUUGGGCUUAAAGGGCGCGUAGGCGGCGGCGUAAGUUGGAAGUGAAAUCCCAUCGGCUCAACCGUGGAAUCGCUCCCAGUACUGCGUCGCUCGAGGGGGAUAGGGGUCUGCGGAACUACCGGUGGAGCGGUGAAAUGUGUUGAUAUCGGUGGGAACGCCAGUGGCGAAAGCGGCAGACUUGACCCUUCCUGACGCUGAGGCGCGAAAGCUAGGGGAGCAAACGGG